GACGAACGCUGGCGGCGUGCUUAACACAUGCAAGUCGAACGGAAAGGCCUCAGCUUGCUGGGGUACUCGAGUGGCGAACGGGUGAGUAACACGUGGGUGAUCUGCCUUGCACUCUGGGAUAAGCUUGGGAAACUGGGUCUAAUACCGGAUAUGAACUGCCUUUAGUGUGGUGGUUGGAAAGUUUUUUCGGUGCAAGAUGAGCUCGCGGCCUAUCAGCUUGUUGGUGGGGUAAUGGCCUACCAAGGCGUCGACGGGUAGCCGGCCUGAGAGGGUGUACGGCCACAUUGGGACUGAGAUACGGCCCAGACUCCUACGGGAGGCAGCAGUGGGGAAUAUUGCACAAUGGGCGGAAGCCUGAUGCAGCGACGCCGCGUGGGGGAUGACGGCCUUCGGGUUGGAAACUCCUUUCGACAGGGACGAAGCUUUUUGUGACGGUACCUGUAGAAGGAGCACCGGCUAACUACGUG
rnacentral:rRNA from 1 species